AGGCACAUUGCUAGAGGAGCAAAGAAAGUCUCGCGAGUCCUCCUCUUCUCCCAAGUGUAACUGUGGUUAAACUUUAGCCGAGAUGCAGGGAGAGAGGGCCAGUCUCGGCUAUUUAUCAGAGGGCUUAAACUUUGAGCAUGGUUCCACCUCCAGUAAUGGUUUGAUGGAUCACUGGGACGGUCUUGGUGAUAACGACUUGCAGGACUACAUGAUUGCAAAUUCUGAAUCUCUCGCUCACUCGGUUUACCCUGAACAACAUAGGUUUAGCCUCGGCGAGGAGGCUAGCUCUAGUGGCACGAAGAAUGAAGCUUCCGGUCACAAUGAGCAACUAAGAAAUGAAAUAAUUGAUUUAGACUCAGAUUCUGAACAACCUUCUGGGGACAAUCAGAAUGUCAACCUGAAUGCAGAAUAUAUUGAACUUGACGAGGAUAUUGAUGUGGUUGAAGCUAACGGAUCAGGGAACAGGGCUUCACAACCUGGCAGACCUUUCCAAGAGACUAGUGUUAGAACAGGUUCUUCUGUUGAUGCAUCCUGCAAGAGGAAGGCUAUUGAAGGCAGUAGUAGUGGUCAGUCUUCUUUAGGUGGUUACCAUCACGGAGAAAGCAGCAGUUCGUGGACCCCAGUUUCUACCGAGUAUAGGUCAGUAAAUGGUCUAAACAUAUCUGGAUCUCGAGGAGAGGUCUCUGCUACUGCUUCAAAUUUUCUUGUAAGCUCAAGUAGAAAUACAUGUGUCAGGAGUAAUCCCUCUGAAACUGUAAGCCCAGCUGCCUUUUCUGCGGGAACUGUUGUCAGGCGACCUGUCCCUCCACCGCACUCUAACUUAUCAAGACUUGUACCAUCAGAUCAUCAUGGACAAUCCCUAGGAAAUAUCUUCUCACGGAACCCAAAUCCUCCUGCACCUGUUUCAAGGAAUAUGCUACCACCAUUUCAGUGGACUGAGAGCUCACUAGCGGGUGAAUCAUUCAACUCCACCGUGCCCACUGAGAGAAAUAAUCUUCAUCUAGAAGACACCAGGUCAAGAAGCAUAACAGCAGCGAGUGUUCUAGAGAAUCCCUUGUUUAAUCCAGCUCCUGACCUCAGCAGAAAUGCUAACCUGAGUAUUGCAUCAUCAUCAUCAGUGUCCAGGACAGGCUCAAGCACAGGUGUUCAAGCACCAUCUUCUAAUCUAGCGUGGACGCCUCACCGGAAUUUACCACCUCACCAAAGAAGAAGAUCGGAACUUGCCCAUAGGUCAUUGAUUUCUUCCCUUUCUGCAGAUGCGAGAUCUGGUGAUCAUCAUCCACCACUUCGUUCGUUGGCUCCUCCUGCCCCUCAGGAUGGGCUUGUGCUUCAGCCUGGUGGUGGUGAUAGUAGCCGGGCAUACUCGAGAGCAGGUCUGUGGCUUGAUAGACAAGUGGAUAGUUUGGUUGGGGCUCCUCAAUCUUUAAGGGCUUUGGCAGCUGCAAGCAGAGGAAGAAACAGACUUAUGGUAUCCCAGGUCAGUUCAUACAAGUUCGGUUAACCUUGAUGGUUUUUGUUAGACUGACAGUGAGUCUCUUUGAAACAGAUGCAGAAUAUCUUGGAAGUGAUGCGGAGGGAUCCGAAUCAUAACUUGCGGCUUGAGGUUAGUUUCUCCUUGGGGCGGGCUCAGUAGAAUAAACAGUGUUCUAAAAUUACAAGUGAACUUGUCUUCUCUCUGUCUCUGUUGAACUUUAAAAAGUAAUGUGAAUUGCUUGAUUGUCCAGGACGUUAUGCUUCUGAAACCUUAAUUAAAAAAUUAGUAAACAAAAAUAAUGGUAAUUAUAUAUGAUAUUUUUAAUUAAAUAAAAGUGCUUUGUAAUUUUAUUUUGUAAAAAUUAACUAAAAACGACACAUAGGAAAACCUAAGUAUCAAUAUUUACUUGUUCUUGGUACUGAAAACGUUGGUGAGGAACUGAGGAUGUAUGUGGAAUCACUGGAGAAGAAGAUGCCUAAGUCAAUUAGUGGUCAUGAAAUAUAUUGAGUGGUUGUCGACUGGGUUGUGUUAACAAACACAUAGAAAACUUAAUUAAUGGGCCUUCGAGUGAAUAUAUUUUUUUGUUCUUAGUGGCAAGAAUAUUUUGUUGAAGUAUCAAUAUUUGAUUGGCCUGACUUUUCUUUAAUUGUUACUAUCUAAGUUCCAAUUUUUGAUAUUUUUAUAUAACAGAAAUUACAAAAGUCUGUAUUGUGAGUUUCAACUAUUCACAUCCAUAGGACCAUAUAACAUGAUGUUUCACGGACUAAACAUUACCAACAUAUUUAUUUUACUAUAUACUUUGCUAUAUAUAUAUUUAUCAAACAUUUUUAUAUUCCAAAAUAAAAGAGCGAAAUUACAUUUAUUUUCAUAAUUAAAAAAUAUUGCGUAUGAAAUAUGUUUUAGUAUUUACAUAAUUUCAAACACAAAAAAAUUACUUCUAUAGUUUUCAUUAAUUGUGUUUGGGUUUAUAGAAUUAAAACCAAAAAUUCAUUAUGAUUUUUUCCAUAAAUGAAAUAAAAAUAUGCAUGACCAGAAUGAAAUUGCCACUUGAAGUUGUUUCUUUUUUUUUUUUUUGAAACACGGAAUUGUGUCUAAAAAAUCAAGUUAUGUAGGGGGUGUGAACCUGAUCAUUUGUAUUUUAGGCUAAAAAAAAUUAUAUAAAGAAUAAAUAAAAUUGAUUGCGAAUUAUUUAUAACAUGAUACACUUUCUACAAAACGUUUUUUUUAUAGAUUUUGUUUUUUAAUUUUAAAUUCAUAAGCUGAUAAUCAGUGCCGGUCAUAAAAAUUUAAGACCAAGUUUGUAAACUUGAGAUUUUACCAUUAGACCUAAAAAAACGAUUGAAAAUAUGUGGCCGAAAAUAUAUUUAUUGUGAAGCGGCCAAAAACCACUGAUUUCUUUGUUUAAGUCCAAGGGCCGGCUCUGCUGAUAAUCUCUGGGAGUAGAAAAUUUAAGUAAAUAAUAUUUCUAAUGAACAAAUGUCAUCUUGUGUUUAUUUUUAGUUGAGAAUCUAAUGAAAUUAAAGAAAAAAGAAAGGCAAGGAUAUGAAAAGAUAAGCAAUCAGAAAGCACACCAAAUGACCAAAGUUACAUGGUAACAAAAGGAAAGAAACCAAAUCUGUUGGUUUAGUUUGGUUCGGUUUAGUUAAAUUCAAAAAACAAAGAGAGGAAAAUUGAAAAACGAGGGACGUGUGAAGAAGCAAAGGCUAAGAACUUGCCAGCUUGCUGCUGUCUCCUCUUCAAACAAUUUAAUUUAUAGUAUAAAAAAAUUUUUAAUAAGUUUUUUUGUUGGUAUUCGUUGAUUAAGGCUAAGCUUAUUGAAUUCUCCUCUUUGGAAACUGCUCUUAUGACUGACCAUUUUGCUUUCUUUCUUUCUUUAUUUUUCCUUUUCAUAAAAAAAUAUACAUUUUUAAGUUUUCCUAACGUGAAUUAAAACAUUGCCGUCUCUUCCUCUGCCUAAUAAUCAAUCCUCCCUUCCUCUUCUCUCUCUGCAACAAAGCGGUACGUUCUCUCUCUCUCUUCCUCAAGUUUUGUUCUUUCUUCUCAUCCCAAGAUUAAUUUAGAUCGGUUAUGUUUUUCUAUUUUCUUUUUAUUGUUGGGUUUUGAUUUUGUCAUAUCUGGGACUUAUCAUUCGGAAUUGAGAAGAAUCUCUGUUGAAACCGAUUGUUCUAAAGUUGGCUCCUUUAUGUAUAGAUCUCUAAUCAACUUUUGUUUGUUUUGAUAGAAAGCUCUCUUCUUUACCCUUUAUUGAUGAUAUCUUCAUCUUCUGAUUCUGUCUUGUGGGUUGUUUGCCUGACCGACCGACCACCAUGCCUUUAUCUUCCUUCAAGCUGUUUGCUAGCUCUUGGGACUUUGUGACACUUAACUUCCUUUGCUUGUUGUUUUGUCAACCUCUGUCUCUAGGUGUCAAAUUGAUACUUCAUUCACCUCUUAUGAAGUCAUAUGUCAUCUGUUAUGAAUUGUGUUUUACUUGGCCAACUAAUCUAUGAGUCAGUGAGUUGUUUUAAGCUAUUGUGUGAUUUUAUUUGUAAUUACAGUUCUAGGAACUAUGUUUUCAUUGAGAGCAUUUGAGUGUGUUUAUGAGUUUCUUCCUUUUUCAUUCACAAUUUAACUUUUCUUUGUUACUGAAUGAUUUAUACUGUCUUUGUUCUUUUUUUCAGUCUCCACGUUAGGCAGGCACAUUGCUAGAGGAGCAAAGAAAGUCUCGCGAGUCCUCCUCUUCUCCCAAGUGUAACUGUGGUUAAACUUUAGCCGAGAUGCAGGGAGAGAGGGCCAGUCUCGGCUAUUUAUCAGAGGGCUUAAACUUUGAGCAUGGUUCCACCUCCAGUAAUGGUUUGAUGGAUCACUGGGACGGUCUUGGUGAUAACGACUUGCAGGACUACAUGAUUGCAAAUUCUGAAUCUCUCGCUCACUCGGUUUACCCUGAACAACAUAGGUUUAGCCUCGGCGAGGAGGCUAGCUCUAG
rnacentral:lncRNA from 1 species